rnacentral:misc_RNA from 1 species
CCAGACUGAAGAUCUGG